GACGAACGCUGGCGGCGUGCCUAAUACAUGCAAGUCGAACGAACCGCGACUGAGUGCUUGCACUUGGUCAAGGUGAGUGGCGAACGGGUGAGUAACACGUGGGUAACCUACCUCAUAGUGGGGGAUAACAGUCGGAAACGACUGCUAAUACCGCAUAGGACAUGGAAUCACAUGAUUCUGUGAGGAAAGGUGGCGCAAGCUAUCGCUAAGAGAUGGACCCGCGGUGCAUUAGCUAGUUGGUAGGGUAAGGGCCUACCAAGGCGAUGAUGCAUAGCCGACCUGAGAGGGUGAUCGGCCACAUUGGGACUGAGACACGGCCCAAACUCCUACGGGAGGCAGCAGUAGGGAAUCUUCCGCAAUGGACGCAAGUCUGACGGAGCAACGCCGCGUGAGUGAAGAAGGUCUUCGGAUCGUAAAGCUCUGUUGUUAGAGAAGAACAGCGCAUAGAGUAACUGUUAUGCGUGUGACGGUAGCUAAACAGAAAGCCACGGCUAACUACGUG
rnacentral:rRNA from 1 species